UACGUAGGGGGCAAGCGUUGUCCGGAUUUAUUGGGCGUAAAGAGCGUGUAGGCGGCCAUACAGGUCCGUUGUGAAAACUGGAGGCUUAACCUCCAGACGUCGAUGGAAACCGUAUGGCUAGAGUCCGGAAGAGGAGUGUGGAAUUCCUGGUGUAGCGGUGAAAUGCGCAGAUAUCAGGAAGAACACCUAUGGCGAAGGCAGCACUCUGGGACGGUACUGACGCUGAGACGCGAAAGCGUGGGGAGCGAACAGG
rnacentral:rRNA from 1 species